GAUGAACGCUGACAGAAUGCUUAACACAUGCAAGUCUUUGGCGAAGCUGUGCUUGCACAGCCUAGCCAAGGCGGACGGGUGAGUAACGCGUAAGGAACUUGCCCUGCAGUCAGGGAUAACAGACGGAAACGACUGAUAAGACCUGGUAAAGUCAGGCGGACUCAUGUCCAGCCUGAUGAAAAGAGAUGCUGCGGGAGAGCCUUACGUCCUAUUAGCUUGUUGGUGGGGUAACGGCCCACCAAGGCGAUGAUAGGUAGCCGGCCUGAGAGGGUGGACGGCCACAAGGGGACUGAGAUACGGCCCUUACGCCUACGGGAGGCAGCAGUGGGGAAUAUUGGACAAUGGGGGCAACCCUGAUCCAGCAAUUCUGUGUGCACGAUGAAGGUUUUCGGAUUGUAAAGUGCUGUCAGCAGGGAAGAAAAAAAUGACGGUACCUGCAGAAGAAGCGACGGCUAAAUACGUG
rnacentral:rRNA from 1 species